rnacentral:rRNA from 1 species
UUACAAUGGAGAGUUUGAUCCUGGCUCAGGAUGAACGCUAGCGGCAGGCCUAAUACAUGCAAGUCGGACGGGAUAGAAGAGCUUGCUUUUCUUGAGAGUGGCGCACGGGUGCGUAACACGUAUGUAACCUACCUUAGUCAGGGGGAUAGCCUCUCGAAAGAGAGAUUAAGACCGCAUAACAUUAUGAUAUGGCAUCGUAUUAUAAUCAAAUAUUUAUAGGACUAAGAUGGGCAUGCGCAACAUUAGCUAGUUGGUGUGGUAACGGCAUACCAAGGCUACGAUGUUUAGGGGAUCUGAGAGGAUGACCCCCCACACUGGUACUGAGACACGGACCAGACUCCUACGGGAGGCAGCAGUAAGGAAUAUUGGUCAAUGGACGGAAGUCUGAACCAGCCAUGCCGCGUGCAGGAAGACGGCCCUAUGGGUUGUAAACUGCUUUUGCAGGGGAAUAAACCUCAUUACGUGUAAUGAGUUGAAUGUACCUUGAGAAUAAGGAUCGGCUAACUCCGUGCCAGCAGCCGCGGUAAUACGGAGGAUCCAAGCGUUAUCCGGAUUUAUUGGGUUUAAAGGGUGCGUAGGCGGCUUUUUAAGUCAGGGGUGAAAGACGGUAGCUCAACUAUCGCAGUGCCCUUGAUACUGAAGAGCUUGAAUGUACUUGAGGUAGGCGGAAUGUGACAAGUAGCGGUGAAAUGCAUAGAUAUGUCACAGAACACCAAUUGCGAAGGCAGCUUACUAAAGUAUGAUUGACGCUGAGGCACGAAAGCGUGGGGAUCAAACAGGAUUAGAUACCCUGGUAGUCCACGCCCUAAACGAUGAACACUCGAUGUUGGCGAUAUACGGUCAGCGUCUAAGCGAAAGCGUUAAGUGUUCCACCUGGGGAGUACGCCCGCAAGGGUGAAACUCAAAGGAAUUGACGGGGGCCCGCACAAGCGGAGGAGCAUGUGGUUUAAUUCGAUGAUACGCGAGGAACCUUACCCGGGCUUGAAAGUUAGUGAAUAGAGCAGAGACGCUCUAGUUCUUCGGAACACGAAACUAGGUGCUGCAUGGCUGUCGUCAGCUCGUGCCGUGAGGUGUUGGGUUAAGUCCCGCAACGAGCGCAACCCCUAUGUUUAGUUGCCAGCAUUUAAGGUGGGGACUCUAAACAGACUGCCUAUGCAAAUAGAGAGGAAGGAGGGGACGACGUCAAGUCAUCAUGGCCCUUACGUCCGGGGCUACACACGUGCUACAAUGGAUGAUACAGAGGGCAGCUACCUGGCAACAGGAUGCCAAUCUCA